CCUGAGGGGCUGCCCUGUUAACAGUGACCUAACAGUACCCUGCUACCUUAACAGUGACCUCCACAGCAAUUGCCCCUUUAAUAGUGGCCCUUGCCCCUAAACAGUGACCUCCACAGUGUCCGCCCCUUUAACAGUGACCUCCACAGCGGCCUGCCC